UGAACCCAAAUUCAGAUAUCCUCUCUUGUGCGGCCAGCAUUAGACGCAGGAGAAUGGGCACGCUGUCAUGAUUUGUUCUUGUCUGCUCUGUGUUUCUGUAUCUCUAUCCUUGUUUUAGUCUGCAGUGGUCAGUACCUAUCAAAAGUGGUCCAAGGAAAGAAAAGUUGUGAACCGGUGACAAGGUCAUGGAUGGCCAAGGCUCAUUGACGCAUGUCGUCCGAUCCAACAGAAAAGCAGUCAGAUUGCUGAAGAAGGUUCUGGGUAAACAUGGUGAUGAUGAAGAUGAUGCAGAGACUUACAGCACCGUGAAAGUUCCUCUUCCUGGGGAACACGUGGCACCAGGAUACACUAUGGAAAGAGGACAAGCCAGCGGAGGCAGUGUGAUGCUUUGACAUUUGACCCCAAGUUGCAACUUCUGACAUAUGUCAAAAUAGUAAGUCGCUUUGGAUAUAAUCGUCAGCUAAAUGUAAUGUGAACAUUCUGUUAAAGAAUGUUUUAUGCAAAAAUGAGAUGAUCUCUAUCCUGAAAUAAAUUCAAUUCA